GAUGAAGAACGUAGCAAAAUGCGAUAAGUAAUGUGAAUUGCAGAAUUCAGUGAAUCAUCGAAUCUUUGAACGCACAUUGCGCCCGCCAGUAUUCUGGCGAGCAUGCCUGUUCGAGCGUCAUUUCAACCAUCAAGCCCCAGGCUUGUGUUGGAGCCCUGCGGCUGCCGCAGCCUCCCAAAACCAGUGGCGGGCUCGCUAUCACACCGAGUGCAGUAGUUUACUCUUCGCUCAGGGCGUGUGGCGGGUGCUAGCCGUGAAACCCCCAACUUCUCAAGGUUGACCUCGGAUCAGGUAGGAAUACCCGCUGAACUUAAGCAUAUCAAUAAGCGGAGGA
rnacentral:misc_RNA from 1 species